UACGAAGGGUGCAAGCGUUACUCGGAAUUACUGGGCGUAAAGCGUGCGUAGGUGGUUUGUUAAGUCUGAUGUGAAAGCCCUGGGCUCAACCUGGGAAUUGCAUUGGAUACUGGCAGGCUAGAGUGCGGUAGAGGAUGGCGGAAUUCCCGGUGUAGCAGUGAAAUGCGUAGAGAUCGGGAGGAACAUCUGUGGCGAAGGCGGCCGUCUGGACCAGCACUGACACUGAGGCACGAAAGCGUGGGGAGCAAACAGG
rnacentral:rRNA from 1 species